UUGAAAGCGGGUUGGGUUGAGUUAGCUUGAAUUGGGUUGAGGUUGAGAGGUUUAACGAGGGUUUGGAGACAGAAGAAGUUGUGGGAAAAGUGCAGAAAGGGGUAGAGUGAGGUUAGAUUAGGUUACGUAAGGUAGAUAGGUAAGGUAAGGUAAGGUAAGGCACGAUAAGGUAAGGUAAGGUAAGGUCAGGUAAGGUAAGGCACGAUAAGGUAAGGUAAGGUAAGGUCAGGUAAGGUAAGGCACGAUAAGGCAAGGUCAGGUCAGGUAAGGUUAGGUUAGGCACAGUUGGUUAGGUUAAGUUUAAGUGAGAUAAGACAAGGUAAGGUAGUGUAAGAUAAGGUCAGGUAAGCUAAGGUAAGGUCAGGUAAGGUAAGGCACGAUAAGGUAAGGUCAGGUAAGGUUAGGCACAGUUGGUCAGGUUAAGUUUAAGUGAGAUAAGACAACGUAAGGUAGUGUAAGAUAAGGUCAGGUACGGUAAGGUAAGGUCAGAUCACGCAAGGUCAGGGAAGAUAAGGUAAGGUAAGGUCAGGUAAGGUUAGGUUAGGCACAGUUGGUUAGGUUUGAGAUAAGACACGGUAAGGUAGUGUAAGAUAAGGUCAGGUACGGUAAGGUAAGGUCACGCAAGGUCAGGUAAGAUAAGGUAAGGUAAGGUUAGAUUAUCUUAUUUUUCUCUCUUCCUCUUUUUCCUUCUCUCUCCUCUCCCUUCCUCUCGUGAUGUCUUCCUCUCACUCUUCCUCUCUCUCCCUCCUCCUCCUCCUCCUCCUCGUGAUUCUUCUCCUCCUGCCGUUACUCCUCUCUCCUCUUCCUCCUCCUCCUCUUCCUCUAAUCCUGCCUGUCUUCCUCUUCUUCUUCUGGUACUCCUUCACUUUUCACUUCUCUUCCUCCUUUUCCUCCUCUUCCUCCUUUUCCUCCUCUUUCUCCUCUUCCUCUUCCUCUUGGGGUCAGCACUGCGUUAGGUCAUCUUGCGCCGCGCUCAGGUGGAGGAUGAUGGGCCCCGUGUGAGUCUGUGUGUGUGUGUGUGUGUGUGUGUGUGUGUGUGUGUGUGUCAGGGUAUUUCACAGGACACCAUCACAUUAACUGCCACUAUCACUGUCACUGCCAUUACUAACAGCGGCGGCGAAGUAGUAGUAGUAGUAGUAGUAGUAGUAGUAGUGGUAGUAGUAGCGACUGUACGGUGAUAGAAGUGGCCGGGAGAAUGACGCCCACUACAACCACUACUACGAUUGGUGCUGCUGCCACUUCAACACCACCAACACCACUGCGUACACACCACACCACCACCACUGGAGCGCCGCAACACACGCACGCACACACACGCUGCCGCCACUGGCCUGCCCAACCAACUGCCAACACUCUCAGCGCUGGCGGAGUUUUUACGAAGUCCCGUUGGAAGAGGAGGAAGAGGAGGAGGAGGAGGAGGAGGAGGAGGAGGCAGUACAGGUGAGAGAGGUAGGUAGGGAGG